rnacentral:rRNA from 1 species
GACGAACGCUGGCGGCGUGCCUAAUACAUGCAAGUCGAGCGGACCGAACAGGAGCUUGCUCUUGUUCGGUUAGCGGCGGACGGGUGAGUAACACGUGGGUAACCUGCCCGUAAGACCGGGAUAACUCCGGGAAACCGGAGCUAAUACCGGAUAACACCGAAGACCGCAUGGUCUUUGGUUGAAAGGCGGCUUCGGCUGCCACUUACGGAUGGGUCCGCGGCGCAUUAGCUAGUUGGUGAGGUAACGGCUCACCAAGGCGACGAUGCGUAGCCGGCCUGAGAGGGUGACCGGCCACACUGGGACUGAGACACGGCCCAGACUCCUACGGGAGGCAGCAGUAGGGAAUCUUCCGCAAUGGACGAAAGUCUGACGGAGCGACGCCGCGUGAGCGAAGAAGGUCUUCGGAUCGUAAAGCUCUGUUGUUAGGGAAGAAGAAGCGUCGUUCGAACAGGGCGGCGCGGUGACGGUACCUAACGAGAAAGCCCCGGCUAACUACGUG